UACGUAGGUGGCUAGCGUUGUUCGGAAUUACUGGGCGUAAAGCGCGUGUAGGCGGUUGUUCAAGUCAGGUGUGAAAGCCUUGAGCUCAACUCAAGAAAUGCACUUGAUACUGGGUGACUAGAGGACCGGAGAGGAUAGUGGAAUUCCCAGUGUAGUGGUGAAAUACGUAGAGAUUGGGAAGAACACCAGUGGCGAAGGCGGCUAUCUGGACGGUUUCUGACGCUAAGACGCGAAAGCGUGGGGAGCAAACAGG
rnacentral:rRNA from 1 species